rnacentral:misc_RNA from 1 species
UGAGCCUUGGCCGUCUGCGGGUUUCCUGUAUUGCAUACCUACACGAAGGAAUUCGACUGUCCCAACGUUUCAUGUUCUCCUAGUGCCGCCCCCGGAAGGGUGCGGCGUGAGGUGAGCCGCGAAGGCAAAUUCGUGGUCCAAGACAAUCGUAGCACACGUUGUUGCUCUGGCCCACGAAGUGUAGCCUGAGCUCUCGGAUGCGGAAUACCAUGAGGGUAGGAGGUCGCGGCCUCCGUGUGCCCAUGCUCAGCGUUAAUCGCUCGCAUCGAACGACUACCGUCGU